rnacentral:rRNA from 1 species
AUUGAACGCUGGCGGCAUGCCUUACACAUGCAAGUCGAACGGUAACGGGCCUUCGGGUGCCGUCGAGCGGUGAACGGGUGCGUAAUACAUCGGAACGUGCCCGAUCGUGGGGGAUAACGAGGCGAAAGCUUUGCUAAUACCGCAUACGAUCUACGGUAGAAAGCAGGGGACCGCAAGGCCUUGCGCGGACGGAGCGGCCGAUGGUAGAUUAGGUAGUUGGUGGGAUAAAAGCUUACCAAGCCGACGAUCUGUAGCUGGUCUGAGAGGAUGAUCAGCCACACUGGGACUGAGACACGGCCCAGACUCCUACGGGAGGCAGCAGUAGGGAAUUUUGGGCAAUGGGCGCAAGCCUGAUCCAGCAAUGCCGCGUGCGGGAUGAAGGCCUUCGGGUUGUAAACUGCUGUUGUACGGAACGAAAAGCCUUCUUUUAAUACAGGAGGGUCAUGACGGUACCGAAAGAAUAAGCACCGGCUAACUACGUG